rnacentral:rRNA from 1 species
GACAGAGGAUGCAAGCGUUGUCCGGAAUCAUUGGGCGUAAAGCGCGUGUAGGCGGCCCAGUAAGUCCGCUCUGAAAGCCCGGGGCUUAACCCCGGGAGGCGGGUGGAUACUGCUGGGCUUGAGUCCGGAAGAGGCGAGUGGAAUUCCCGGUGUAGCGGUGAAAUGCGCAGAUAUCGGGAGGAACACCAACGGCGAAAGCACUCUGCUGGGCCGACACUGACACUGAGAGACGAAAGCUAGGGGAGCGAAUGGG